CUCGCCCUUGCCGCAGGCUUACACAUGCAGUCGAGCGGGGUGAUGGUGCUUGCACUAUCACUUAGCGGCGGACGGGUGAGUAAUGCUUAGGAAUCUGCCUAUUAGUGGGGGACAACAUCUCGAAAGGGAUGCUAAUACCGCAUACGUCCUACGGGAGAAAGCAGGGGAUCACUUGUGACCUUGCGCUAAUAGAUGAGCCUAAGUCGGAUUAGCUAGUUGGUGGGGUAAAGGCCUACCAAGGCGACGAUCUGUAGCGGGUCUGAGAGGAUGAUCCGCCACACUGGGACUGAGACACGGCCCAGACUCCUACGGGAGGCAGCAGUGGGGAAUAUUGGACAAUGGGGGGAACCCUGAUCCAGCCAUGCCGCGUGUGUGAAGAAGGCCUUAUGGUUGUAAAGCACUUUAAGCGAGGAGGAGGCUUUUUUGGUUAAUACCUGGGAUAAGUGGACGUUACUCGCAGAAUAAGCACCGGCUAACUCUGUGCCAGCAGCCGCGGUAAUACAGAGGGUGCAAGCGUUAAUCGGAUUUACUGGGCGUAAAGCGCGCGUAGGCGGCCAAUUAAGUCAAAUGUGAAAUCCCCGAGCUUAACUUGGGAAUUGCAUUCGAUACUGGUUGGCUAGAGUGUGGGAGAGGAUGGUAGAAUUCCAGGUGUAGCGGUGAAAUGCGUAGAGAUCUGGAGGAAUACCGAUGGCGAAGGCAGCCAUCUGGCCUAACACUGACGCUGAGGUGCGAAAGCAUGGGGAGCAAACAGGAUUAGAUACCCUGGUAGUCCAUGCCGUAAACGAUGUCUACUAGCCGUUGGGGCCUUUGAGGCUUAGUGGCGCACCUAACGCGAUAAGUAGA
rnacentral:rRNA from 1 species